UUGUGUAACGUGGCACCUAAAGUAAUUCACCUAUGUAUUUACCUCUCUGUGUAUGUGUACCAUUAAAUUUGACUUUUCCCUGUUCCCAGGGUGGAACUUUCAAGUUUGGAAUUUUAUUUUUCUUUCUUUCUUCCCCUUUUUUUUUUCUAGCUCUGAAAUUCACGUAAAUUGCAAAAUAAAUUAAAAGAAUUGAAAAAUUUAAAUAAAAAAGGAUUUUAUUUUCAAGAUUUUAUAACUAUGAUGGUAGUAGAGAAGGUGGAAGAAGGAGAAGAGGAGGUUGAAAGAGAAUAAAGAGGGAAAUUACUUGUUUCUUUCUACAUAACAUCAUAAAUCUAAUUCAAUAAAGAUCACAUUUUUAUUAUUCAAGAUUACAUGGUCACCUCUAUUUUCUUGAUCCCCAUAAUUUCUUUUCCUGUUUCUGAAACACCCUUUUCAUAAUCUUGUUAGUGUGGGGUGGUGGGGUGGGGUGGGGUGAGGUGAAGUGGGGUGGGGGUGGGGAUGGGAGGGUGUGUAUCAAGACCAAAUGGUUGUGUUGGAGGUCGAUUGAUAGGAGGUACAAAGAAGAAGUGUAGGAAGAAAACAAAAAGUGUAAAGAAA
rnacentral:lncRNA from 1 species